rnacentral:rRNA from 1 species
GACAGAGGAGGCAAGCGUUGUCCGGACUUACUGGGCGUAAAGCGUCCGCAGGUGGUCGGGCAAGUGCCGUGUGAAAGCGCUCGGCUUAACUGAGCGAGGCCAUGGCAGACUGCUCGACUCGAGACCGGGAGAGGUCGGUGGAAUUUCCGGUGUAGCGGUGAAAUGCGUAGAUAUCGGAAGGAACACCAGUGGCGAAGGCGACUUCCUGGCCUGUUCUUGACGCUGAGGCGCGAAAGCUAGGGUAGCAAACGGG